rnacentral:lncRNA from 1 species
CAUCCAAUUCGGUUCUUUACAUAUGUUUUGGGAGUAUGGCCAACUUCACCUCUGCUCAGUUAAAGGAGAUCGCCAUGGCCCUUGAAGUAUCAGAGGUGCAGUUCAUUUGGGUUGUGAGGAAGCCAAAGAACAAUGAAGAAGAUGAGGAUUGGUUGCCAGAAGGGUUUGAGAAGAGAAUGGAAGGGAAGGGACUUAUAAUAAGAGGAUGGGCACCCCAAGUUUUGAUUCUUGAUCAUGAAGCAGUGGGAGGAUUUGUGACUCAUUGUGGAUGGAAUUCAACCUUGGAAGGCGUGUGUGCUGGUGUGCCUAUGGUCACUUGGCCAAUAUUUGCAGAGCAGUUCUACAAUGAAAAGUUGGUGACUCAAGUCUUGAAGAUUGGAGUGGCCGUUGGUGUUCAGAAAUGGGUGAGACUGGAGGGAGAUUUUGUGGAAAGGGGAGCCAUUGAAAAGGCAGUGAAGGAGAUCAUGAAGAGUGAUAGAGCAGAAGCAAUGAGAAACAAAGCCAAAGCACUGGCCGAAACAGCAAAAAAAGCUGUUGAAAAAGGAGGGUCUUCUUACUCUGAUUUGGAUGCUCUGAUUGAAGAAAUAAGCUUACAUUCUCAUUAAAUCCAUAGACAUUUCAUAUUGUCGGUUGGUUCUUCAACUUCAUGCAUGUUUUGCUGUACUGUUAAAUUGGAAGAGCCCUCCUUUCAGGGUUCAUAUAUUAAAAUAAAUUUAUACACAUAAAAAAUGUACCAUGUCAACUUCCUUCAUUCAAAGAAAGUUAACCCUAAAUGUUAUCCUCCACCAGUAAUAAUAUCAAUGUUAAUUGAAUAAAUUUAAGCAAAACUUAUGUUGUCCUACAUCAGUAAUAAUAUUAAUAUUCUUUUUGUUGAAUUAUGUCAUCAAAAGAAAAUAAAUAAUUUGCUUAAAUAAGAUUUUCAAUUAUAAUUUUACUUAAAUAACCUAUAAUAAUUAAAUUAAAUUAAAAAUUGAUGUUCUUGAUAAAAAUAAUAAUUAAGCAUAAAAUAAUUUGAUGCAAAUUUUUAAAAGAUAAAAGAGUCCUAAUAAUUAAAAAUAUAGAAAAUAAUAUUGAUAGUUUGUCAAUUGGAUAAAAAUAAAAAGUAAAAAUCUUUUUACUUUUAAAUUUAUUUUCUAAUAUUUUCUAAUUUUAUCAUUUUAGUCCUAAUUUAUUUUAUCACUUUGACCAUUAACUUUUAAAUUUUAAUCAAUUUACUUUAUUUCUCUUUAUCUCAUUCCGGACAGAGAUAAUUUAAAAAAAAAAAUUAAUCAAUUUGCUUUAUUUCUCUUCAUCUCAUUCCAGACAGGGAUAAUUUUUUAAAAAAAAUUAUCAACAUAUUUUAAAUUUUGUUGAAUUUACUAAUAUUUUUUAUUAAUUUGAACAGAGUAAGAUUGAGACUGACGAAUGAAGGAAUAUAUUCCUUUCUCGAUCCUAGAUUAUACAGGUCAUCACUUCAGUGUCAGCGGAAAUUCAUCACACAAUAAUUUCAAUUUCAAACAAUCCCAGAAAUUUCCAGUUUCAUCACCUAUGACUUCUAAUCUAAAUUCAACUGUUUUUGAGUGUUUUUCAAGGGAAAAUGAGAAGAGAAAUUCAUAUGUUCUUCCUUCCAUUCUUGGCUCAUGGUCACCUCAUCCCAGUAGUGGAUAUGGCCGAGAUGUUUGCGAGUCGAGGAGUGAAGACAGACAACUAUAUUUACCACUCCAGUCAACGCUCUUCUCUUCUCCAACACAAUCGAGAGAAGCAAGGAAUCUGGUAUCCACAUCGGUGUUGAGCUUCUCAACUUCCCGGCUGUCGACGUUGGGUUGCCUGAAGGGUGUGAAAAUGUUGACUUGAUCCCUACUUCCCAAGACGGAAAUUUGGAAAUGAUUACCAAUUUCUUCCAGGCCGCACUCAUGCUUCAACAACCCUUUGAAAAGCUGCUACAAGGACGUAAACCAGAUUGUUUGGUGGCUGAUACGUUCUUCCAUUGGGCUACUGAUGCUGCAAACAAAUUCAGGAUCCCCAGGUUGGUUUUUCAUGGAAUUAGCUACUUUUCAUUUUGUGCAUCGGAGUGCAUGAGUCUAUACAAGCCAUACAAGAAGUUCAGUCCGAUUCCCAACCUUUUGUGGUGCCUAACCUACCAGGCGAUUUCAAGUUAACAAGAAACCAAGUGCCGGAUUACGUCAAACAAGAUGCUGAAACUAAUUCUACCAAGCUGUUGAAAGCAAUCAAGGAAGCAGAGCUGAAAAGCUACGGCGUAGUUGUCAACAGUUUUUACGAGCUGGAGGCAACCUAUGCUGAUUACUACAGGAAUGUAUUGGGGAAAAAGUCUUGGCAUGUCGGCCCAGUUUCGCUCUGCAGCGGGAAAAAUAUAGAUAAAGUUGAGAGGGGAAACAAAUCAGCCAUUGAUGAGCAGGAGUGUUUGGAGUGGCUUGAGUCAAAAGAACCCAAUUCGGUUCUUUACAUAUGUUUUGGGAGUAGGACCAACUUUACAUCUUCUCAAUUAAAGGAGAUCGCCAUGGCCCUUGAAGCAUCGGAGUUGCAGUUCAUUUGGGUUGUGAGGAAGCAAAAGAACAAUGAAGAAGAGGAUGAUUGGUUGCCAGAAGGGUUUGAGAAGAGAAUGGAAGGGAAGGGACUUAUAAUAAGAGGGUGGGCACCCCAAGUGUUGAUUCUUGAUCAUGAAGCCGUUGGGGGAUUUGUGACUCAUUGUGGAUGGAAUUCAACCUUGGAAGGCGUGUGUGCUGGUGUGCCUAUGGUCACUUGGCCAAUAUUUGCAGAGCAGUUCUACAAUGAAAAGUUGGUGACUCAAGUCUUGAAGAUUGGAGUGGCCGUUGGUGUUCAGAAAUGGGUGAGACUGGAGGGAGAUUUUGUGGAAAGGGG